CAGCAGCCGCGGGAAUACGUAGGGUGCAAGCGUUAAUCGGAAUUACUGGGCGUAAAGCGUGCGCAGGCGGUUCGUUAAGACAGAUGUGAAAUCCCCGGGCUCAACCUGGGAACUGCAUUUGUGACUGGCAAGCUAGAGUAUGGCAGAGGGGGGUGGAAUUCCGCGUGUAGCAGUGAAAUGCGUAGAUAUGCGGAGGAACACCGAUGGCGAAGGCAGCCCCCUGGGCCAAUACUGACGCUCAUGCACGAAAGCGUGGGGAGCAAACAGGAUUAGAUACCCGGGUAGUCCCUGUCUCUUAUAC
rnacentral:rRNA from 1 species